rnacentral:rRNA from 1 species
UCCUACGGGAGGCAGCAGUGGGGAAUAUUGCACAAUGGGGGAAACCCUGAUGCAGCCAUGCCGCGUGUGUGAAGAAGGCCUUCGGGUUGUAAAGCACUUUCAGUAGGGAGGAAAGGGUGAGUCUUAAUACGGCUCAUCUGUGACGUUACCUACAGAAGA